UUGCAGACAUAGUACAACACACUAUGCACCAAUAAGCCGAUCACCAACACACCCACUAGGAAUCCACCCACCAUAAUCCUCGACAACACUCCAUAAUCAUCCCCACUGUGCACCACAACCGAGGAGAAGGAAACGGGCUUGGAGGUGUAGAGCGAGACGACGGCGGUGGUGGAGAGGAAUGAGAAUGCGAAGAGGGAGAUGAGGUAGAAGAACUGGAAAAUCAGAAGCCUCGACCAGUCGAAUGCGGCGGCGGCGGCGGUGUCGGAUUGGAGUUGCGAGAUGAUGGGGUGGGUGAAGAGCGAGCGAGCUAGG
rnacentral:lncRNA from 1 species